CCUACGGGUGGCAGCAGUGGGGAAUAUUGCACAAUGGGGGAAACCCUGAUGCAGCGACGCCGCGUGAGUGAAGAAGUAAUUCGUUAUGGAAAGCUCUAUCAGCCGGGAAGAAAAUGACGGUACCUGAGUAAGAAGCCCCGGCUAACUACGUGCCAGCAGCCGCGGUAAUACGUCGGGGGCAAGCGGUAACCGGAUUUACUGGGGGUAAAGGGGGCGUAGGCGGGAGUGCAAGUCUGGAGUGAAAGGCGGGGGCUCAACCCCCGGACUGCUGUGGAAACUGUCCGGCUGGAGUGCAGGAGAGGUAAGUGGAAUUCCUAGUGUAGCGGUGAAAUGCGUAGAUAUUAGGAGGAACACCAGUGGCGAAGGCGGCUUACUGGACUGUAACUGACGUUGAGGCUCGAAAGCGUGGGGAGCAAACAGGAUUAGAUACCCGAGUAGUC
rnacentral:rRNA from 1 species